GGAGCAUAGCAAUGUGGCCUGUUAAGGGUUCCAGGAGAAGAAUGGAAUUUCAGGCACAUGGCACAGGAUAUUUCAGGCACAGGACAUGUGGAUGGAAUUAAAAAGAACAGCAAUGGGAAGGCUAGGAGAAGGGACCCAGUAUUUAUUAAGAAGUUGCUAUCAUGUGCUAAAAAAAAAUCUAGGAGGUUAAAUCAAAUAAACUGAUAUGAAAGUGUCCAUGAAAUAAGUAUUUUUAUCUCUAUUUAUUCAGAUGAAAAAAAAUCAAGGCUUAAUUUAAGUAACUUGUCCAAGGUCAAGGAGUUGACAAGUGGCUGAGCUGGAGUUCAGCAUCUCAGACAUCUUCCUUUGAAUCCUUGCCUUCCUUGUGAAUUUCAGAUGACGGAGCAUGACGGCUGCAUGAUUAUGGGGUCACCGGGCCUGUCCUGGCCCUGAGGGACCAAGGAUCAGAAGGGCAGAACCAACUCGCUCAGCUAGUGAAGUGCAAUGGACUGUAUUGCCAGGUAGCCAGUAGCGUGGGGCCCUGGAAGAGGCUGGAGGAUACUGCGCUGUCACUGAGACACCUGCCCCAGGUCCUCCAUCUCAGCCACUGCCCACAAACACAGCUCCACAGCCAGAAAGACCCAGCCACAGAAAUGCCAGCAAACAACACCCCUGGCUCCCCACAUCCCACGGUAAAGCUCCAAACGCUUGGAGCACACACAAGGCCUGACUCCAGGUCACCUUCUCUACUGGGACAGAAAGGGUGCCCUGGGGGUGGGGAAGGGCCUGGGGCUGGCAGAGCCAGGCUGUAUUUGGGUCAUUUUCCAGGAGGCCUGGGUUAUUUCUAACACCCCCUCCUCCAAGAAGACAACUUUGCCUCCUGCCCCUUGAGGUUCUUCCUUCUUGUGGCAUCCAGCAUUUUCUCUGGUAACUGUUGUGGGUAUUUUUUGCAGUUUGGGAAACUAAAAAAUAUAGAAAACUGCAAGAAAUAAUUACAGUCACCAAUAUGCUUGCCACUCAGAAUCAAACACUGCCAGAGUUUUCCAUAUUGGCUUUUCUAGGCUUCUAUAUGCAUCUAUAUCUAAUCUGGAUCUGUGGCUGGAUCUAUAUCUGUAGCUAUGUGUGUACCUGUAUCUUGAUCUAUUGUGCUUUUGAAAGGAAAGUACGUACUCAAGUCCCCGGUGACCAGCACCCUCAUGCUGACAUCAGAUGUCAAAUGCAACUCCAGUUCAGGUCACUCUUCUACAGGGGAUGUGUAUCCUUUCUACCUUUUAAACAUGUUGUUAUAGACACGUUCUGAGGCAUAGAAAAUUUAUAAUUUGGGGGGACAUUGUCUACACAAGUGAGGUUGGGCUGAGCCCAUCAUCCUGCAAUGUGUUGUUUCAUUCAAUGGCGUAUUUUUGGGCUCUGUUGAGGUUGACACACAUGGAUGCUGUUUGUUCCAUUCAGAAACAGCCCAGAUGGAACAAAAAAUUUGUUCCUUAGGCCGGAGGCCACAGGGUGACCUUGCUCCCAGCGAGGGAGGUUUGGGCCUGGGACUUCAGGUCCUCAGGAAGUUCCCUCAGCCCCGCAGGCCUCCUGAUGCCAACAUGACUCUGCCCCAUGGGAGGCCAGGGCAGCCACUUCCUGGCUCUGCCUGUUUGGCCAACUGGCCUUUAGGAAGCCCCGCUCUCUGUCCCCCAAUACUCCAUGGGAGUUUCAGUGCCCAACGGGCACCUGACGAGCCUGGUAUCUGCUGGGGACCAAGGGCUGUUUAUCCUCCCUGGGACCUGGGGAGCUAAGGGUCAACACAGCCAGAAGCCUGCCCCCAGAACAGGACUCUUGUGGGUAGUGUAGACACACCCCAGCUCUGGCCCUCAAGGGAGAUGUGAGCCGUGUGCUUUCUCUCUCCGGUCCUCCCUGAGGAACGCAGGGCCAGCUGCCCACUGUGGCGGCAGCUCGGGCCCAGUCACACUCCUUCACUGGUGAUCUCCCUCCCCUGCAGGCCUCCUUCCACCUCCCAGACAAGCUGCUGGUGACCAGAUUCCUGUCUCAGCGUUUGCUUAUGUGAGAUCUCUAACUCAGAACCCGUCCCUUCCUGGGUCCGGCUUCUGCUGGGAAGCCAGCCACCUGAGGUGGGGGCUGACGGGCUGGGUGGGGGCCCCGGACUGCACUGGGCUAGCAGAUGCAGGGAGGCAGGGAGGGGGAGGCAGGCCAUUUAUUGAAGAACUGCUUGCAGACAUGGACACACACAGCCAUGGUAACCAGACGCCACCCUGGGGCCAGGGAGCACCCAGAAACAGCCCUGGGCUGCCAGCCCAGUCUCAUGCUCACCAUUUCUUUCUAUGGC
rnacentral:lncRNA from 10 species